ensembl:lncRNA
GGAGGGACAGAGAAGAAGAAAAUAUCACGGUCAUGUUGGCUAGAAUCCUGCCCAGAAGGAGACUGCAGCAACUCUCCACCCCCAGGUACAUUACAUACCAGCUAUGGUUACUGCCUGUCAUAAAGGGAUGCAAAACACUGAGCAGAGACAGCAAAACAAAGCUCACAUUGUAUGCACAAGGACAUAGAAAUAUAAAUAUAGAAAAUCAAAUGCUGUCACUGUUGAAAGAAGAUAUUAACUCAUGGGUGCUGACACUCCGUAGCGGCUGAACACGAAGACGGCACUCCACUGGGGUGACCUUUGACUCUUGGCAGAGAGCGAUUUCACUGAGGGAAUUCACUCUGGUGGAUGAGUCUCUAGUGUUUGUCAAGAUCUUUGUGGAAACAAACACUCAGAGGAUCUUUGUGGAACAGUCCAGAAAUAAUUGAGUAAGCCAAGAGACCCCUAUCUCCCCUCUGCAAAAAAUGUCAGGUUAAACUUUCUUUUGAGGACUCCCUAAUUGAUGCUCUUGUAUAAAUAAUUGCUAUUUCCCAGCACUUUCUCUUUUCCCUUUUACUGAGAAAAAUACAAAAGAAAAGUCAACCGAAUCAAGACAGAAAUUCAUUUUUACAGCUGAAUAAGCUUCAUCUUUGGUUGUUUUAAAAAUGAAAUAAUGGGAAAAUAUUUGUUAGAGAAUAAUAAACACACCCAGGUAUUUGCUGCUCUUCUUAGGCUGGGCUGAGUGAAGUGGCUCGGUAAGACCACCUGUGUUUCUUGGUGCGCGCCCAGCAGAGCUUCAGAAUUUGUAUAGUUGGUUUCACUCCAGCAACCUGGCUACAUUCUUGGAUCUCUUACUCAACAUGAGGCAUCAAGAUCAUUGGAAACUUUAACAAAAACAUCAACAACUGGAAGAGCCAGUUAGCCUAUGGUUUGACCCCAGCCUGCAUACCCUUACAUCAAUCUACUUCUAAUCUUUUGGGAAAUUAGUUCAGCCUUCAAGGCAGGAGAAGGAGCAACCUGAGGGUACAGCUGCUCAGUCUCCCUAGGAGACAAAGAAUCUACAAUCACCCCAAAGCACACAUUUAGAUGCUUGCUUUUUAAUCUGCUUUCCAUUUGGCUGAAUGGACGCCUCCAUAAUAACUCUAAAAGCAUCAAAGAAAAAGUAUACUCUGUAGUAUUCCAUGAUGGAAUCCAAUAAAAGAAACAUAACUCAAAAUCAUUUCAGAAGCAAUAAUAAAUUGCUACUCAGAAGCAGCUCCUCAAGGAAGCUUGCUCUUCAGCCCAAUAAUCUAAAACACAUCAUCAAAACAGUAGCUGAGGAGGAAGGAAAAAGAUAACAAAUCUUAUUUUCCACUUGUCCUUUUGGUAUACUUCAAAAUAAUUUGGAUGCUUUCUGAAACAGCUAUUUUGGAUGUUUUUAUUCAUGUCCCAAAGGGCUACUUAGUCUAACUACCUUUAUCUAAAGAAGAUGGUAAAAU